GAAGACAUCCAGGGAGCUGCUGUUUAAGACCUGAAACAUCUGGAUCAGCUGUACAUGGAUCUGCUGCCACUUCAGAUGAAGAUAACGCAGAUGAAUUGUACAAAAGCCUUCAGCAGCCGACAAGAGAUCUCUACCAAACUAUCUCCUCAGGUCACCAUAAGCAUGAAAUUGAAACAAACUCAGCCAGCAACAAAGGAAAUGUUAACCUGGAAAAUAUGGAAGUUUACAGCAAUCAUGAAAUUUAUGAAAACCUUCGAAUCAAAACUCUUUCAAGCUAAAUGCAGUUUCAUAAACAUUAGGCUGAAUUUGCUUUUGAUGUUUUACUGAGCAAGAUUAACCAGAAGUUAUGUUAUUCAGUAUUUAAUAGUAACAUGUCAUAAUUUUAUUGAAACAUUGGUAAAUGUAUCAGUUUGUCUUGAAAGAAUCUGUAACAUUCUUAAAAUACAUCAUGUUAUAUAUUGUACUAUAUAUAGAAGAUUUUAUUUUUUCACUGGUGGCAUCUUUGCAAAGCUGUUCCGUUCCUGUAAAGGUCCGCCUCAUUAUCAGACCAAUGUUCUGUAACUUCAGAGCCUCUUCUAGUAUUGCAUAUUUAAUCUGUAACUGCCUCUGUUUAAGUUUUAAGUUAUUUCUAAGGACGCCUUGGACACCAGAAACUACUGGGCUCUAUAAGCACUUCACCUGAUAGAUUACAGAAACAGGCCUCUUAGUUAAAGCUAAUGGAUGAUUAUCUUUAAAAAUGAUCUUGCUGAUCACAAGUUGUGUCUGUGCAACUCAAAGGGCUCUCUGUCAGUA